rnacentral:lncRNA from 10 species
UUGAUCUGAACUCAUCAGAGGGAGGCAGAGGAACUCGUCCAGAUAAAAGAAAGCUAAGGAAAGACAUUCAACAGUUGAAGAUAAUUGGAUACUCACAUGGAGCUGUUAGAAAUAAUAGAGAGAGAGAUCAUGUGUACUCAUCACCAAGUUUCCCUCAAUGAUAACACCUUGCAAAACUAUAGCACAGUAUCACAACCAGGACGUUGACAUUGAUGCUGUGAAGAUACGGAAUAUUUCCAUCACCUCGAAGAUCCCUCCUGUUGAUUUUUUGUAGCCAUACUCAUUUCAUCCUUCUUAAUUCCUGGUGACCAAUAAUCUAUUCAUUUCCAUAAUUUUGCCAUUUCAAUAAUUUUAUAUAAACAGAAUCACACAAUGUGUAAAUUUUUGCAAUUAGCUUUUUUUGCUUAGCUUAGUUUGCUGGAGAUUCAUCCAGGUUGUUACAUGCAUCAGAAUUUUUUUCCUUUUUAUUACUGACUAGUAAUCUACAGUAUGGAUAUACCACAGUGUGUUGAAUUAAUCCAUUGAAGGAUAUUCGGGUUGUUUUCUGUUUGAGACUAUUAAGAAAAAAAAAAAAGCUGCUAUAAACAUUCAUGUACAGAUAUUUAAAGACAAGUCUUUACGUCUCUGAGAUAAAUGUCCAACACUGCAAUUGCUAUGUGAUUUGGUAGUUACAUACUUAGUUUUUAAGAAACUGCCAAACUAUUUUUUUAAUGGCUGUACUAUUUUAUAUUCCUACUAGCAAUGUGUAAAUGAUUUAGUUUUUCUGCUUUCUUUCCAGCAUUUGGUGUUGUUAUGAUUUUUUAAUUUUAGUUCUUCUGAUUGGUGUGCAAUAAUAUCACUUUGUGGUUUAAUUUACAAGUAUUAGAUCAUUGUUAUAGUCCCAUAGGUUUCUGAGGCUCAAUUUACUUUUUCCAGUCAAUUUUCCCUUUGUUGUUCAGAUGAAUAAUUUCACUUUUUUUCCUUGUAGUUUACUAGUUUUUCCUCCCUCCCCUCUGUUUUGCUGUUGUACCCAUCUACUGAACUUUUUAUUCUCAAUUGUUCUUCUCUCCAUUUGUUUUUCCUUGAUAUCUUCCAUUUCUUUACUAAGACUUUAUUAUUAUUAUUGUUUUUAUUUAUUUUUCUAAAGCUUUCUAUUUGUUUUAACAAUGUCAAUAAAUUCUUGAUGCAGCAUUUUUGCCAUGAGUUCUUCAAAUCCAUUGUAAUGGCCUCAUUACUCCUGAGCAAUGAUGAAAUCCUGAUUCUUUGGUAGACCUCCUCUGAGACCACCCUAAAGGGAAGAGAAAAGGGCACCUCACUACUUAUGACCUCUAUAGGUUAGAGCCGUAAUUUCAAAAGUCACAAUCCUGGAUACCAUAAUCUCAAAUGUUGAAAUUCCAGAAGAUCAAAAUCCCAAAAAUAUCAUUCUAGAAAAAAUGAUAUUACAAAUUUUU